GGGUUGGUUUAGUGUUAGGGUUGGGUUAGGAGCAGGGUUAGGGGUAGGGUUAGAGGUAGGGGUUACCCUACCCCUACCCUAACCCUACCACUACCCUAACGCUACCUCUAACCCUACUCCAACCACUAACCCUAACCCUACCACAAUCCCUAACACUACCUCUACCC